UCUUCUGAGAGCUGAAAUAAUUGGAUGUUAGAGCUCAUGGAAACACAAAAAGACAAGAAUAAGAGUCGGAGGAUGUGAAGAACAAACUUUUGGUGCGAUGUAAACACUAGAUGACACUUGUUGAUGGAGGGCAGCAGAUUCUGGAUUUAGAAGAAAACCUUUAUCGAGUCCCAGCGCCCUUGAAACGGAUGACAUCGAUUGGACAGCCAGAAGAUUCCCGACCCCUCCUGCCCUGGAGGACGAUCAAUGGACCCGCGGGCCGCUCCCGGAACAUCAGCAGAGGAUUAAACAAUCUCCCAGCACAACACAAUUAACUCCACAACACCUCACAUCAAUAUUUAGGAGCAAACUACAGAUAGCACAGAGAAAAAAUGCUUCGAAUUUUGUAUAUCGCAUGGCAAUAUUAAAGCAAUAGUUCACCCAAAAAUUACAAUUUGCUGUAAAUCUGCUCACUAUCAGGCCAUCCAAGAUGUAGAUGAGUUUGUUUCUUCAUCAGAACAGAUUUGGAUCCAUUGAAGUGAAUGGGUGCCGUCAGAAUCUGAAUGUUUAAACAUUCAGAUGUCACCCCCUUUCUAAUCAUUAACUUUCAUAUUUAACUGUAGUUUAAUUACACAUUUUUUUCUCAGUAACUGUGACUACAAUUACAUUUUUUUUUUGUAAUUAAAUUAAGUAACUCUGUUACAUGUAACUAGUUACUCCCAACACUGAGUAUAAUGUAAAAAUAAUGUUGAUAGACUGUUACAUCUAUAAUUUUACAAGAUUGAGAACAGCAAAAAACGUACAAAUAACAGCAAAGAGUGUGAUCUGUGGUGUGUGUAAACGCCGGCAGGUUUAAACAAAGGUAAAAUUGAGAAAAAACGCUUUUGACAGAUCAGAAAGAGAACCCCCUUUGUUUUCCACCAGGAUCAAAUGAGUGCUCUUGAAAGACCAGCAGCCUGUGUUUUAUUAAGUAGGGCUCCAGAGCAGCACUGCUUCUCUCCAAAGCGCUAUUCUCUCCUAAUAGAGAACUGAAAGCCGCUGCGACCUCUAAGUUAACCUCCGCUGAGACAUAGC
ensembl:lncRNA